AGCGAACGCUGGCGGCAGGCUUAACACAUGCAAGUCGAGCGGGCGUAGCAAUACGUCAGCGGCAGACGGGUGAGUAACGCGUGGGAACGUACCUUUUGGUUCGGAACAACACAGGGAAACUUGUGCUAAUACCGGAUAAGCCCUUACGGGGAAAGAUUUAUCGCCGAAAGAUCGGCCCGCGUCUGAUUAGCUUGUUGGUGAGGUAACGGCUCACCAAGGCGACGAUCAGUAGCUGGUCUGAGAGGAUGAUCAGCCACAUUGGGACUGAGACACGGCCCAAACUCCUACGGGAGGCAGCAGUGGGGAAUAUUGGACAAUGGGGGGAACCCUGAUCCAGCCAUGCCGCGUGAGUGAUGAAGGCCCUAGGGUUGUAAAGCUCUUUUGUGCGGGAAGAUAAUGACGGUACCGCAAGAAUAAGCCCCGGCUAACUUCGUGCCAGCAGCCGCGGUAAU
rnacentral:rRNA from 1 species